rnacentral:rRNA from 1 species
AUGAAGAGUUUGAUCCUGGCUCAGGAUGAACGCUAGCGGCAGGCCUAAUACAUGCAAGUCGAACGGUAACAGGAAGAGAGCUUGCUCUCUUUGCUGACGAGUGGCGGACGGGUGAGUAAUGCCUGGGAAUCUGCCUGAUAGUGGGGGACAACAGUUGGAAACGACUGCUAAUACCGCAUACUCCCUUCGGGGGAAAGUCGCAAGAUGCUAUCAGAUGAGCCCAGGUGGGAUUAGCUAGUAGGUGAGGUAAAGGCUCACCUAGGCGACGAUCUCUAGCUGGUCUGAGAGGAUGAUCA